rnacentral:rRNA from 1 species
UACAGAGGGUGCAAGCGUUAAUCGGAAUUACUGGGCGUAAAGCGUGCGUAGUCGGUUAUUUAAGUCCGCUCUGAAAGUCCGGGGCUCAACCCCGGGAGGCGGGCGGAUACUGUCGGGCUAGAGUCCGGAAGAGGCGAGUGGAAUUCCUGGUGUAGCGGUGAAAUGCGCAGAUAUCAGGAGGAACACCAAUGGCGAAGGCAGCUCGCUGGGACGGUACUGACGCUGAGGCGCGAAAGCGUGGGGAGCAAACAGG